GAAAGUUGGUGUUCAAUAGAUGUAGCAGCAUCAUGGAACUGCACCUUCAGUUUCUCCAUUUAAGAGAAAAAAAUGCAUUAUUUAAAAUCUGAGAUUCCUUUUAUGAAUCUUAUUUGUAGACUGAAUGGUUUUUGCUCAAUCUAACCCAAGAACAGACUCUAUUUAAAGAGAGCCCUUGUUGGUUUGGUGCUGCCAUUUGGGUGAAUUCCUAGAGAAAAUGAAGAUCCUAGAAGUCACAGCUUUUAUAUCAAGGGGAAAGGAUGGCUGGAAUCCACUGCCCCUCAGUGCCCCUGGCCUUGAGCCUGACAGGUCUGAGGCACUUCCUUGGCAGCUCCCCUUCUUGGAGAGCACUGAGCUCAAGCCUGCCUGGAUGUCUUUGAAGAGACAUUUUUUUUGCAUUUGUUGGGAAACCA